UUUAAUUGCAUGUGACCAAGUGUUAACCCAAGGGACUAAUUUGAUGCUUAUAAAAUUAUUGAGUAGGUUACUUAUACUUGGGUGUUUUGGAGUAGUUUAAUUUAUUUUUCAGGAAAGCUUUAGAAGUUUCAACACUUAGAGAAGUAUGGAGAAGGAUCGAAUUCUUAAAGAUAGAAAGAAGUUUGAAGUCGUUCGGAGGCUUCUACAGUAUAAGAGUCAACUUUAGUUUGCCAGAAGCCGAUCUCUGGAUGCCCACAGGUCAAAACAGAGGGUUAAAAGAAUUUUAGGCAUCAAGAGUCGUUUCUAGAUGAUUAGGAGUCGACUUAUAGAUGGACUCUGAAACUUAGGAGCAGAUUGGCAUCUGGAAGGUGAUUAGCAUAGGUGAGGAGUUGACCCAGGAUCGAGCCCCAGGAACUAACCUUAGGGUCGACCCCUAAUGUGCCAUAGGGAAAAGAGAGAGAAGGGUUUUUUUUGGUUCCUUUAGGAGUCGACUCUAGGAUCAAUCCCUCUAUUUUGUCAUGCCUAUUGAUGCGGAAGGAAGCGUGAACUGGUUUUGUUGUUGCAGGACCAGAAACAGAACCUAAAACAGAGAUGUUGCUGUUGCUAAAUCUUUCCGCAAUAAACCAGAAUCAAAGCUUCAAAAUAGGGGAUUCAAUGUUGCUCAAGAUCUCAAGCCAAGACUUUGUUUGCUAAUCCCAAAACAAAGCAUGAAACAGGUUCUGAAAUUCAGAAAACCAAAACAGAGUUUUUUGGUUCUUUCUUUCAUUCUAUAACGGCUGAAAAAUAACAUCAAGAAGAAGGACUCAAGACCUUUAGCAACGCCUUAUAUAGGCU
rnacentral:lncRNA from 1 species